ACUACUGAAAUACUUCUCUUCCCCUUUCAUUCAUUAACCACACUAUUUAUAGCAGCCAAUCCUCAUUGUAUGCAGCCCUACGAUGGGUAACUGCCCACACACGUUGUAGGGUGAAAUAUCUUCAUAACACAUGUUCUCAUAGCAAAUAUCUUCAUAGAAAAUAUCUUAAUUAUAUAAUUGUUAUUUAAUAAAUAUCUUUUAUUCAAUUCCCUGGUAGUCCAGGGUCUACGAUGCAAAGUUCGUGGUCGAGGUCGUAUCAACCCCUUCCCUCUCAGGUCUGAGCUUAUCCUCGAGCUCGCUAAUAAAUUGCCACGGAUCCAAUUCAUCAUCACAGUCUUUGUUACGGUCUUUUGAUAGUAUCAUUUUUCCUGAAGAAUCUGACAUCAAAGAUAUAAAGAAAUUAAUAUUAGAAGAAAUACCAAUUAUUUUUGAAAACAAAAAACUAAAUGAAGAAGUAAUAUUUGGAGAAAAAGAAAGUUACUCAUCUGAAGAUCUGAGUGAAGAGGAAGAAUCUGAAGAAGCCGAGCAAGGAGAGAUUGGAGAGAGGUCUACCCAAGAACAAGAAGUCCAGACACGUGAAGAGGAAGGCAACAAGUGAGGAGGCUGAAGGCAAAGGAGAAAUAUUUAGGUCAAAAUCUAUCCGGACCAAAAGGGCCCAGCCCGUUACAAUAAUGACAGUAUUAUUCUAUGAUAAGAAAUAAUUAGUUUUUAAUUUCUGUUUUGGUCAUUUAAAAAAAAAAAUUAUUUUCAGUUAACAAGGCCAUUGUUAGGCCUUAGUAGAUACAUUACGAUGUAUAGCUAAAAGCUAUUGUUAGGCUUUAACAAUUAGUUUAAAUUUCAG
rnacentral:lncRNA from 1 species